GGGGAACUACGCUAACCUGGUAGACUGCUAGCUUUGGGAGCUAGUAAUAGGAGUCCAAAUCUCCUGUUCCCCA
rnacentral:tRNA from 2 species